UUGUUACUCUGAACCCUGAUCUUGGGCUUGCCAUUUCUAGAAGGCACCAUUGUAUUCUUGCUGAAGAUUUAAUGAGCAGUAUCUGAAGGUACAUGGUGUGCAUUUGGAGUUCAUUCGAAGGCUCCCCCUUCAUUCUCAUUACCCCAGGUUCAACCAUUUAUUAUUGACUAUACAUGACAUGAGAGGACAAAUCCUGUUUCUGUUGAUAAAUGUGAAGACUGCCAUUAUGGCCAGUUUGGGAAUGAUGGAAGUGAAAGAAAAAAAAAGGCAAAUGCAAAAAAAUUAUUAACAAAGCACCAUUAGCUAGGCUUUUUUUUCCAAAGCAUACCAGCCAGUGCUCUUUCUUAUGCAGUAGCCUGCUGGGGCACUGGUGUUACAGUAGGGGACAGGAAUAGAGUAAAUAAACUGGUCCCAUCAUUGGCCUGUCACCCGACUCCUUGGCGACUGUCACCGAGUGACACACUGGGACUAAAACCGGCACGAUUCCGAGGCACGGCGACCAUCCCCUGUGUGCAGCUGUCGUGGAACUGAGGAGCGGGUUCAGAGACUGUCUGGUACUGCCAAGAUGCUCAACUGAACAUUUUCACUGGUCUUCCUGCUCACUGUCGUCAGAGAUGAAGGGAGAAGAGAAAAGGGAGAAGAGAAAAGGCAGAUGGAAUGCAGGCGGUGAAUCCGCCUUCCGGACUGACUGGGGAAGGUUGUCCAACCAUCUGGGAAGAGGACGGAGAGGAGCCGGGUCUGUGGGGACCCUGUGUGGCUGCCAAGUGACUCACGACAGGCCAGGGAAGCGUGUCUCAAGUCCGUCGGGUUAUUAGCCCAUUCACGUGGCCAGUAGUUCUGUGUUCUAGCAUGACGUCUGAGGAAAUCUGCUUCCUCAAUGUAGUGUACUGUCUGGUUUCUUGUGCAUUUCUAUAGCAUUUUAUUCUACAAGGAACUAUGUGAACUUUCUUGGUAAAAGGUUUAGAAUGGUCUUUUUUGGGCUCUGUUUCCCUGAACUGGUGUCAACAUCUGAUAUGUUCUAGUAUGUUUAGGAACUUUUGAUACGUAUCGUGACAGUUGCCGUGGUUGUCUGAUUUAUAUGUACUCUGUUCCAGCCCUAAGCCACUCCUAUUCUGGCUUCUGUGCGUGUGUGAGUGAGUGUGUGUGUGUGUGUGUGUGUGUGUGUGUGUGCGUGUGUGUGCAUGUGUGUGUCUGUGUGUUUGUGUGGCCCAGAUCUAGUUGUCUUCAGCUGAACAAAAAAAAAAUCACCAAUAAGGACAUUUUACUUUUGUGCUUUUGUUAGGCAAGCCUUGAAGUGAAUGAGCAGAAGAUUAGCAUCUCUAAGUUCAGCAGGGCAAGCCUGACGUCCCGGAGAUGGUGGAGACUGCGCUGCACUGCCUGGCCCUGCUGGAUGCCUGCCUUUCAACCGUCAGAGUGCUCCGUUUCAGCUACAGCCUCCUGCCGAACGCUCCAAAACCACAAUGACACAGAUGGUCACGAGAUUGACACCGAGCAAGUCACAAUCCGCAGUGACUCAGACCAAAAGUGUGUGGGCUCCAACCUUUAAAGAAUAGAGUUCAUCUGCCCGUGUCUCCUCAAGCGAAUAUUCAUUCUUGCCCAGACUUUCUCACAUUGUUGUACACUGUGACCACUCCACCACACACGAGCCAAAACCAUUGUCUCGUAACUCUCUUAAGACAGGGGUCCUCAAUCUAAUCCAAAAAGGGCCGGUGUGGGUGCAAGUUUUUGUUUCGGCCCAGCAACAUGACACCCGAUUCAACAAAGUAACAAGUAGAAUCAGGUAUCCAAGUGCUGGGCUAAUACAAAAACCUGUACCCACACCGGCCCUUCAGGGUUAAGAUUGGGGACCCCUGCUCUAAGAGGUUCAACCAGCAGUGGAGAUGAGAAGCCUCGAUCACUGCUUCCUUCUGAAGUUGCAGCCUGUUCUGCUCUCACACGUGUGUGUACUUUCACAGUUUCACCUGAGGUGUGAAUCAAGAAGCAAAACAGGAACCCAGGCACUCUGCCCAUAUACAAUAAUGCUAAAAUUCCUUUCUUACAUUGGCAGGUUCAAAACAGAAAAAACAAAAUACUCCAAGACAUUUUGGCAUCAGUGAAUUAACUAGAACUGCAGGACAAUGGCGUUGAGUAGGAAAACAAUUAUAAGGCUUAAUUAACUGCACCUUUGUCAAAAUCAAUCGGUAGAUUUGUGGCUAACGUGUUCACCAGUAGAAUGCAAAAAUGCCCCUGAGGUGUCCUGGGAGGGUGUGAUAUUAAGCCUGUAAUCAGAGUCUGGAAUUUUGUUCUGUGCCCUCACCAAAUUUGGAGCCCAUUAUGGUCGAUGUCACGACAAAUAUUUUAUUCAGCUUGGGUUUUCCACAGAAACGUGGACCUGCAGAUGAAUAUCUCCUCUGUCACGUUACGGAAACCAAAAACAAAGAAAGAAACAAAUAAAAGAAGUCAGGAGACAA